CAGCCGCCGCGGGAAUACGAAGGGUGCAAGCGUUAAUCGGAAUUACUGGGCGUAAAGCGUGCGUAGGCGGUUUGUUAAGUCUGUUGUGAAAUCCCCGGGCUCAACCUGGGAAUGGCAAUGGAUACUGGCAAGCUAGAGUGUGUCAGAGGAUGGUGGAAUUCCCGGUGUAGCGGUGAAAUACGUAGAGAUCGGGAGGAACAUCAGUGGCGAAGGCGGCCAUCUGGGACAACACUGACGCUGAGGCGCGAAAGCGUGGGGAGCAAGCAGGAUUAGAUACCCGGGUAGUCCCUGUCUCUUAUAC
rnacentral:rRNA from 1 species